GGCGGCAGCCAAUGGCCGCGCGCGUUGCUGUUGCCGGGCGGCCCGUACCGGCCGUCCCGGGGCCGUCCCGGGGCGAUGCCGGUCCCGGCCCUGCCGGGCCAUGGAGAUCCGCUGCGGGGGUCUCCUCUUCAGCUCCCGCUUCGACUCGGGGAACCUGGCACACGUAGAACAGGUGCGGCCUACAGAGCUGGGAGGCGGCCCCGCCGCCCGCGCCAACGCUCUCCCCGCCGCCGACUAUGAGUUCAACGUGUGGACGCAGCCCGACUGCGCCCACACCGAGUAUGAGAACGGCAACAGGUCCUGGUUCUACUUCAGCGUGCGGGGGGGUGCCCCGGGGAAGCUGAUCAAGCUGCACAUCCUGAACAUGAACAAGCAGAGCCGGCUGUACGCGCAGGGCAUGACCCCCUUCGUGCGCACCCUGCCCGUGCGCCCGCGCUGGGAGCGCAUCCGACAGCGGCCCAGCUUCCAGGUGGUGGAGACGCAGUUCGUGCUGUCCUUCGUGCACCGCUUCCUGGAGCACCGCGGGGCCACCACCUACUUUGCUUUCUGUUACCCCUUCUCCUACACUGAGUGCCAGGACAUGCUGGCACAGCUGGACGGCCGCUUCCAGGACUGCAGGCACAUGUCCCCCAGCAGCCCCCUCGACUCGGUCUACUACCACCGGGAGCUGCUCUGCCACUCUCUGGACAAGCAGCGCGUGGACCUGCUGACCAUCACCUCGUGCCAUGGAAUGCAGGAGAAGCGGGAGCCCCGGCUGGACAAGCUUUUCCCAGACACCAGCACACCCCGGCCUCACUGCUUCACUGGAAAGAGGGUGUUUUUCCUCAGCAGCAGAGUCCAUCCAGGAGAAACCCCCUCCAGCUUUGUCUUCAAUGGCUUCUUGGACUUCAUCCUGCGGGAGGAGGAUCCCCGUGCCCAAAUGCUGCGGCGGAUGUUCGUCUUCAAGCUCAUCCCCAUGCUGAACCCCGAUGGGGUGGUGCGGGGCCACUACCGAACGGACUCGCGCGGGGUGAACCUGAACCGGCAGUACCUGCACCCCGACGCCGAGCUGCACCCCGCGGUGUACGGCGCCAAAGCCAUCCUGCUCUACCACCACAUCCACAGCCGCGUCCUGCCGGGCUCUCCGGACUGGAGGACGUUUGUCUCCCCACUCAGCGCCAGCUCACUGAGCAUAAAAUCUCCCAACUGUCCCGUCCCGGCCGUGGAGGCCACGUUAUCAGAGCUGGACAAAACCAACAACCUCCGCAACUGCCCCGGCACCUGGCGUGCCGGCACGCACUCCUGCCCGGCCCAGGGUGCCCAGCUGCCAGACAGCACAGAGCGAGCCUCCUGGAUCCUCCCUUCCAGCCACAGCACCGAGCACUGUGAGGAGGGGCCGUGGACGCCUCCCCCAGCCCCCGGCCCCGAAGCUGCUGAGCCCCCAGAGCCCAUUGCACCCCGGGACAGUGGCCUGGCUUACUACGUGGACCUGCACGGCCACGCGUCCAAGCGCGGCUGCUUCAUGUACGGCAACAGCUUCAGCGACGAGAACGACCAGGUGGAGAACAUGCUGUUCCCCAAACUCAUCUCCCUGAACUCCCCUCACUUUGACUUCACGGGCUGCAACUUCUCGGAGAAGAACAUGUAUGCCCGGGACAAGCGGGACGGGCAGUCCAAGGAGGGCAGCGGGCGCGUGGCCAUCUACAAGGCCCUGGGCAUCAUCCACAGCUACACCCUGGAGUGCAACUACAACACGGGGCGCUUGGUGAACAGCAUCCCGGGGGCGUGCCAUGACAACGGCCGUGCCAGCCCCCCGCCACCGCCCGCCUUCCCCUCCCGCUACACCGUGGAGCUCUUCGAGCAGGUGGGCCGGGCGGUGGCGGUGGCAGCCCUGGACAUGGCCGACUGCAACCCCUGGCCGCGGAUCGUGCUCUCGGAGCACACCUGCCUGGGCAACCUGCGCGCCUGGAUGCUGAAGCACGUGCGGGGGCUGCGCGGCGCCGGCGGGGGCCCGCGGAGGAGAGGAGGUGCCAGGACCCCCCCCAGGAGCUCCACAGGGCUGCCCACCUCGGCCUCUGACAACACACUGGCCCGUGCCAGGAGCUUCAGCAACGGCACCAGUGGCAGCGGGGGCAGCCAGCAGGACUCCCCCCGAAUCCGAACCUCUCCCAGCUUCACCUUUGGCAGCCCCAGGCCCCCGGCUGCGGCCGUGGCCUCCCAGAGCCCCCUGAGUGGCGGCAGCACCCCGGCCCUGGGCAGAGGUAAGCCAGGCUGGGGACCCCUUGCACGCCUGCUGCGGCGCCUGUCGAGCUGUUGUGCGGGAGCACGGCCCUGAGGGAGGUCAGCGCCGGCCUGUGCUGGGCUCGGACACAGUGACAGUGGGUUUGUGUGGAACAAUGAGUGUGAGGGGCCCCAUCCCCACAGGAGGGUCCUGAGUGGGGCCAGGGCUGACUGUGCACAGCAAGACCUGCAGUUUUACAGCCCAGCUGAGCUCCUCCUCCACGGCCCUUCAGCCCUGGCUGGGCAGGAGCUGCUGCUGCUCCCCUGGGAUUUGUGGGACCCUGGGCAAUGGGGCAGUGCUCCCCCCUCCAGUGCCAGGACCAAGGGGCUUCUGGAGAAGCCAGUAUAGAAAACCUUUGCUCAACUUGCCACUGUUCCCAAGCAUUCCUAAGGCCAGCAGGGACACACCGAAGUGCCUUUCCCCUCUUUAGGCACUGGCUGGGCAACAGUGGGUUGUGACCUGUGGCUGUGGUGAGGUGAGCUGGCAGCGGCCACCAGAGGGUUUCCAACAUGCAGAGUCCCCUCUGGUGGAGGCUGAUGUGCUGCACUGGCUAUGCCCCUGUGGGGCAGGGGCUCAGGGCCCUGGGGGGCAGGCAUGGCAGGGGAAGCCCUGGGGGCACCGAGCACCAAAGCCUCCCAGCACCCAGGGCUGGGGGUGCAAGCUGGGGGCAGGUGCCUGUGUGUGUGCCUGGGCGUGUCUGAAGCUGUGCUUGUGUUGAUCUCUGCAUUCCUCUGGUGUCCGUUGCGUGUUGCCCUCGGGUUUGCUGCCCAGCCCUCUGUCAUGACUGUGUCUUGUCUGCCAUGAGAACAUGGUGGGGAGGAAAUAAAAGGCUGAUGUUCUCAUGGGCACGUUGUUCUGUCUGUU